UACGGAGGGUGCAAGCGUUGUCCGGAAUCACUGGGCGUAAAGGGCGUGUAGGCGGUCGGCCAAGUCUGAUGUGAAAGCCCGAGGCUCAGCCUCGGAAGUGCGUCGGAAACUAGUCGGCUGGAGCGCGAUAGAGGAGGGUGGAAUUCCUGGUGUAGCGGUGAAAUGCGUAGAUAUCAGGAGGAACACCGGCGGCGAAGGCGGCCCUCUGGAUCGUUGCUGACGCUGAGACGCGAAAGCGUGGGGAGCAAACAGG
rnacentral:rRNA from 1 species